CCUACGGGAGGCAGCAGUGAGGAAUAUUGGUCAAUGGACGAGAGUCUGAACCAGCCAAGUAGCGUGAAGGAUGACUGCCCUCUGGGUUGUAAACUUCUUUUAUAUGGGAAUAAAACAGGGUAUGCAUACCCUCUUGUAUGUACCAUAUGAAUAAGGAUCGGCUAACUCCGUGCCAGCAGCCGCGGUAAUACGGAGGGUCCGCGCGUUAUCCGGAUGUAUUGGGUUUAAAGGGCGCGUAGGUGGAUUGGUAAGUCAGUUGUGAAAGGUUGCGGCUCAACCGUAAGAUUGCAGUUGAAACUGGAAGUCUUGAGUACAGGAGAGGUGGGCGGAAUUCGUGGUGUAGCGGUGAAAUGCUUAGAUAUCACGAAGAACGCCGAUUGCGAAGGCAGCUCACUGGACUGCAACUGACACUGAUGCUCGAAGGUGUGGGUAUCAAACAGGAUUAGAUACCCUAGUAGUC
rnacentral:rRNA from 1 species